rnacentral:lncRNA from 1 species
AGCUGAUCAGAUGACUUCCAAGGAUGAUGCAGUUUGGAUGCUCCAAAGCCCAGAAACUUCCCUGAGCUACACCUGGAAAGGGAUCCAAAAGUACACCAGAAUCUCCACUUUGAACUGAUGGCAGAAAAGAGGAGGUUGAAAUUAUUGAGAGACCUCUUGAUGGAGCCCCUACAGAACUGUCAAGUACUUCUUUCCAUCAAGUCCUCUGAGGAACAUCUGCAAAACAGAGACAUUGAGGAGCAGCCGAGAUCCUCCACAAUCUUGGGGACGAAUAUCAGAAUGGAAAGAGGCGCUAAGAGGCCACGCUUUGACCACUGGAGUCUAAGAUGGGCCAGCAGGAAGGAAAACAAUUUUAACAAACAACGCAGGGAGACAGCAAGAGACAAACUGCUGUGCCCAAGGAGGAAGGACUUGAAGGAUGAAGGAAAAUGCCCUCUCUCCCCUCUCACCUGUAAACCCCAUGUUCUUCCUCUCCCCAACCCAAAUCCUGCUCUUCCCCCUCUAUCCAAUCCCCAAACCCCUCUUGUCCCUUGGUCCAACUCACCCCCUGCUCUUUCACUUCUGCCCUUACCCUUGUUCCGGCUUCUCCCCCUACUUCGAGAGGAGUGCCAUCUCCCAAAUCUACCAGCUGAGGUAACUUCCCAACGAUUUCAAACCCCCUCUAGUGCAGUGGUCCCCAACCUUUUUGGGACAGCAAACUGGUUGGGGUGGUUGGGCUCCGUGCGGGGUUGUGUGUUGCCCUCGCCCCCCCCUCGAGCAAGCAAGGGGUGGGGGGACUGUGGGGCGGAGAUCCAUCUCCACAGCCCAGUUCCAGGAAGGCCACGGACUGGCACCAGGCCACGGACUGGGGGUUGGGGACCCCAGCUUUAG